GCGGAUGUAGCCAAGUGGAUCAAGGCAGUGGAUUUGUGAAU
rnacentral:tRNA from 5 species